rnacentral:tRNA from 2 species
GGGUCUGUAGCUCAGUCGGUUAGAGCGCUCGCCUGAUAAGCGGGAGGUCCCUGGUUCGAAUCCAGGCAGGCCCA